rnacentral:rRNA from 1 species
UUGGAAGAAAUUUGAUCCUGGCUCAGGAUGAACGCUGGCGGCGUGCUUAACACAUGCAAGUCGAACGAUGAUCCGGUGCUUGCACCGGGGAUUAGUGGCGAACGGGUGAGUAACACGUGAGUAACCUGCCCUUGACUCUGGGAUAAGCCUGGGAAACUGGGUCUAAUACCGGAUAUGACUCCUCAUCGCAUGGUGGGGGGUGGAAAGCUUUUGCGGUUUUGGAUGGACUCGCGGCCUAUCAGCUUGUUGGUGAGGUAAUGGCUUACCAAGGCGACGACGGGUAGCCGGCCUGAGAGGGUGACCGGCCACACUGGGACUGAGACACGGCCCAGACUCCUACGGGAGGCAGCAGUGGGGAAUAUUGCACAAUGGGCGAAAGCCUGAUGCAGCGACGCCGCGUGAGGGAUGACGGCCUUCGGGUUGUAAACCUCUUUCAGUAGGGAAGAAGCGAAAGUGACGGUACCUGCAGAAGA